rnacentral:tRNA from 1 species
CAAGGUCUUGCACAUUGAUUGCCAUCCGCGUUAAUGGCGCGAGAAAUAGGCACAAUUAUGCCACGCGUUCCAGUCGCUUGAUCUUGG